AUUGAACGCUGGCGGCAUGCCUUACACAUGCAAGUCGAACGGCAGCACGGGAGCAAUCCUGGUGGCGAGUGGCGAACGGGUGAGUAAUACAUCGGAACGUGCCCAGUAGUGGGGGAUAACCCGGCGAAAGCCGGACUAAUACCGCAUACGACCUACGGGUGAAAGCGGGGGAUCGCAAGACCUCGCGCUAUCGGAGCGGCCGAUGUCAGAUUAGCUAGUUGGUGGGGUAAAGGCCUACCAAGGCGACGAUCUGUAGCUGGUCUGAGAGGACGACCAGCCACACUGGGACUGAGACACGGCCCAGACUCCUACGGGAGGCAGCAGUGGGGAAUUUUGGACAAUGGGCGCAAGCCUGAUCCAGCCAUGCCGCGUGAGGGAAGAAGGCCUUCGGGUUGUAAACCGCUUUUGUCAGGGAAGAAACGCUCCGGGCUAAUACCACGGAGUAAUGACGGUACCUGAAGAAUAAGCACCGGCUAACUACGUG
rnacentral:rRNA from 1 species